rnacentral:rRNA from 1 species
UACGAGGGGGGCAAGCGUUGUUCGGAAUUAUUGGGCGUAAAGGGUGCGUAGGUGGUUCGGCAAGUCUUGUGUGAAAUCUUCAGGCUCAACUUGAAGUCUGCACAAGAAACUGCCGGGCUUGAGUAUGGGAGAGGUGAGUGGAAUUUCCGGUGUAGCGGUGAAAUGCGUAGAUAUCGGAAGGAACACCUGUGGCGAAAGCGGCUCACUGGGACCAUUACUGACACUGAGGCA